rnacentral:lncRNA from 1 species
GAGGUUCAGAAGAUCAGAGGAUCAGAAGAUCUGAGGAUCAGAAGAUCUGAAGACCAGAAGCUCUGAGGGACCAGAGGCUCUGAAGGUCCAGAAGCUCUGAAGGUCCAGAAGCAGAAGUUACGAAGGUUAGAGGAUCCAAGCAUCCCUCUGACUCUGAUCACCAAGCUUCACAAGUUCCAACACGAAGCAUAACUCUGAUCAGAUGUCAUUGGUUAAAGGCAAAUGUCUCUAUCAAGAAGUACAAGAGCAGUGUACUAUUCUGACAAGCCUACCUACCAAGGUUCAGCCACAGCAGGUUCUGGAAGUUCCAGAAAUGCCCUCCAACGGUCAUAUUCUCUCAACAGAAAUAUCCUUUGCACCUUGGACUAUAAAAGGCUGAAAAAAAAGAAGAAAGCUAAGAGAGAGAAACCAAGAGCUGCAAUACAAGAAAAGAUUCAAGCCUCUACUUUCUUCAUCUGUUCUUAUUUAGUUUACACUCAGCUUAUUUAGAAGCAAACCUUUGUAAACACCAACCUCAAACAGUUGUUUGAUUUUCCUUAAGGGACCGGGUAGGUCAGUAUUCUUAAGAAGACUAAGAGAGUGAAUCUUAGUGGUGAUUCCUUUAGGAGAUCAAGGUUGAUCGGAUCCUAGAGAAGACUAAGAGAGUGAAUCUUAGUGUGAGCUAAGUCAGUGUAUUGUUAGUCACUUGUAUGUUUCAAGUGCAGUUGUAACAAUUAUCUGAUUAGUGGAUUGCCUUCAUUCUAAGAAGGAAGAAAUCACCUUAACGGGUGGACUGGAUUAGCUUGAGGGAUUUAUCAAGUGAACCAGGAUAAAAUACUUGUGUGCUUCUCUCUUCUCUCUAUCUUUAUCCGCCGCACCAUCUAUCUUAGAGAAACCGAAAAGAUUUACUUUAAAUCUUAAGGGGAAAGUUUUUAUAUUGAAAACGCUAUUCAACCCCCCCUUCUAGUCGUUUUUCACACCUUCAAUUGGUAUCAGAGCGCAAGUUCUGAUUACCACACUUAACAGUGUUCAGUAGAUCCGGGCCAGUGUGAAAAACUCAUGGAUUCCACCACUACUACAAGCAAAUAUCAAUACAGUGCAAGACCACCUAUCUUUGAUGGUCAGAGAUUUGAUUUCUGGAAAGACAGAAUCAAAAGCUUCUUUCUUGGCUUUGAUCCUGAUCUUUGGGAUUUUGUUGUUGAUGGCUACACCCCUCCUGUUGAUGUACAUGGUGUAAAGAUCCCAAGGAAGAAGAUGAGUGAAGAUCAAAAGAAGGAGUUCAGAGAUCAUCACAGAUCAAGAGUUAUUCUGCAAAGUGCCAUUUCAUAUGAAGAAUAUGAGAAAAUUACUGAUCGUGAUUCCGCUAAGUGUAUCCUUGAUUCCUUAAAGAUGACACAUGAAGGAAACAAGAAGGUGAAAAAAUCAAAGGCGCUGUCCUUGAUCCAGAAAUAUGAAUCCUUCAUCAUGGAACCUAACGAAUCCAUUGAGGAUAUGUUUUCCAGAUUUCAGUUGCUCGUAGCUGGAAUACGACCUCUCAACAAGAGCUACACAACUAAAGAUCAUGUCAUAAGGGUCAUCAGAUGUCUUCCUAAAAGCUGGAUGCCCUUGGUGACUUCAAUAGAGCUCACAAGAGAUGUUGAGCAUAUGAGUUUAGAAGAACUCAUCAGCAUACUGAAAUGUCAUGAGCUGAAGCGCUCUGAGAAGGCUAAAUCUGAGAAGUCAAAAGCUCUUCAAGCUGGAGCAGAAGAAUCUGAAGAAGCAUCAGAAGAUUCUGAUGAAGAUGAGCUGACUCUGAUAUCCAGAAAGUUCAACUGCAUCUGGAAGCACAGGCAGAGCAAAUACAAAGGUUCAUCAAAGGACGAAAAGUCAAAGAAGCAUUUCAAACCAAAGAAAAGUCUGAUGGUGACUUUUGAUGAAUCAGAAUCAGAGGAUGUUGACUCUGAUGGUGAAGUCCAAGGACUCAUGGCUAUUGUCAAAGACAAAGGAGCAGAGUAAAAGGAAGCUGUUGACUCUGACUCAGAAUCAGAAGGAGAUCCUAACUCAGACGAUGAAAAUAAGGUAUUCGCUUCUUUCUCUACCUCUGAACUGAAACAUGCUUUGUCUGAUAUUAUGGAUAAGCAUAACUCUUUGUUGUCUAAGCAUAAGAAGCUGAAAAAGAACUUAUCUGCUGUUUCUAAAACCCCUUCUAAAGAUGAGAAAAUCAUAUCUGAUUUGAAAAAUGAUAACCAUGCUUUAGUUAAUUCUAACUCUGUGCUUAAGAAUCAAAUUGCUAAGUUAGAAGAAGUUAUUGCCUGCGAUGCCUCUGAUAGUAAGCAUGAGUCUAAGUAUGAAAAGUCCUUUCAAAGAUUCCUGGCUAAAAGCGUAGAUAGAAGCUUGAUGGCUUCAUUAAUCUAUGGCGUGAGCAGAAAUGGAAUGCAUGACAUUGGCUAUUCUAAACCAAUUAGAAAUGAGCCUUCUCUGCCUAAAGCUAAAUCUUUGUAUGAAUGCUUUGUUCCCUCUGGUACCAUAUUGCCUGAUCCUUUACCUGCUGAAGUUGCUAAACCUCCUCUUAAAAAGGGAUCUUUCUCUAUGUCUAAAUAUCAUGCAAAAAUUCCUUUACAUUAUCAUGUUGAGAAACCCAAAGUUGUCAGAACUUCUGGGCUAACUAACAAGAAAGGACCCAGAAAGUGGGUACCUAGGGAUAAGAUUAUAUAUGUUGCAGAUAUCUUCAAUAGGUCCAUCGAAACUCCAACCAUGGAACCUGGACAGUGGAUGCAGGCAACACAUGACGGGAGAAAGGCAUAUGUCCCAAGAUCCAAAACUUGAACCUGAAGGUGAAGUUAAUCUUGGAGGCAUCAGUAGAGUAAGAUUUGGUCAAGUCAAAACUAGCUGAAAAAGCUUGCAGAGAUGAGCAUGACCGUUUCAGAAAGAAACAAAGACUCAGAACUUGACAAACCAGAAGCAACAACAUCAGAAGAUGCUACUACAACUUCUGACUUGCGUCAUCAGAAGAAGAGUAGGUUCCUAGCUUCUCAUUCUGAAGUAUCUGAAGAUGAAAUUUUGUCCAGAACGGAGAUGUCACCAGAACCACACUUCUGCUCUCAUCAGAAGAUACACUAAUCAGCAGCCAAGUAUCCCUUGGUAUUCCUUCUGAGGGGGAGUAUUUCGUCUUAUGCUCUUACUAUUUUUUUUUUUCCACCUUCAUUCUUUUUGCUUAUGACAAAAAGGGGGAGAACUUAUAGUAUCUUGACAACUCCUAUAUUAUUUAGCUCAGAAUCUAGAUAUUACUAACGUUGAUAUUAAGUAUUAGAUUCAGGGGGAGCUUAGCUCAGAAUCAAGCACGAGUCUUGGAUUCAGAAGGAGCAAGAUAAACUAUACACAUCAGGAUAAGUUUUAACUCUGAUACCUUAUACUCUGAGUGUAUUCAGUUUAUUUGUUUAGAGUUUUUCAUCAAAAUACAUGGUUUUGUCAUCAUCAAAAAGGGGGAGAUUGUAAGAUCAAGAUUUGGUCAUGUGGUACAACUCUAUGUUUUGAUGAUAACAAGUAUUUAUUUGUGGAUGAACAACUAUGAUACUCUAAUGUUUGUCUUGAGUGUUUUGACAAACAGGUUUUGAUUCUGACACCAGAAGAUAUAUUCGUCAGAAGUUCUGAAGAUCAAAAGAUCUGAAGAUCAGAGGAUCUGAGGAUCAGAGGAUCUGAGGAUCAGAGGAUCAGAAGAUCAGAGGAUCAGAAGAUCUGAGGAUCAGAAGAUCUGAAGACCAGAAGCUCUGAGGGACCAGAGGCUCUGAAGGUCCAGAAGCUCUGAAGGUCCAGAAGCAGAAGUUACGAAGGUUAGAGGAUCCAAGCAUCCCUCUGACUCUGAUCACCAAGCUUCACAAGUUCCAACACGAAGCAUAACUCUGAUCAGAUGUCAUUGGUUAAAGGCAAAUGCCUCUAUCAAGAAGUACAAGAGCAGUGUACUAUUCUGACAAGCCUACCUACCAAGGUUCAACCACAGCAGGUUCUGGAAGUUCCAGAAAUGCCCUCCAACGGUCAUAUUCUCUCAACAGAAAUAUCCUUUGCACCUUGGACUAUAAAAGGCUGAAAAAAAAGAAGAAAGCUAAGAGAGAGAAACCAAGAGCUGCAAUACAAGAAAAGAUUCAAGCCUCUACUUUCUUCAUCUGUUCUUAUUUAGUUUACACUCAGCUUAUUUAGAAGCAAACCUUUGUAAACACCAACCUCAAACAGUUGUUUGAUUUUCCUUAAGGGACCGGGUAGGUCAGUAUUCUUAAGAAGACUAAGAGAGUGAAUCUUAGUGGUGAUUCCUUUAGGAGAUCAAGGUUGAUCGGAUCCUAGAGAAGACUAAGAGAG